UGUUAAAAUUUUUAUUCAUUUAUAUUGUUAAAAAUUGGUGUGGUUGACAGAAUAAUUAGACAGUAAAAUGUGACGUGCCACGCUUACCUCAUGCUGACGUAUACGGAUCAAUUUUUAACAACAGAAUUGGGUCAAAUGUUUAACA
rfam:Gossypium hirsutum cultivar TM-1 chromosome 10, whole genome shotgun sequence